rfam:Ovis aries breed Texel chromosome 18, whole genome shotgun sequence.
UCCCUGGUGGCUCAGAUGGUAAAGUGUCUGCUUGCAAUGCAGGUAAACCCGGGUUCGAUCCCUGGGUUGGGAA